UCUCCCUCUGCCUGCCACUCCCCAUCCUUGUGCUCUCUCUCUCUCUGACAAAUAAAUAAAUAAAAUCUUAAAAAAAAAAAAAAGAAAUGACACUAUGACCCUAUAUAGAUGGAGAUGAUUUUAUCUCAAUAAUUCAUUUUUUAAUAAAUAAAUCAUAUUAAUGGCCCUUGUUUUCUAGCAUUUAUUCUGUGUCAAGUACAUAAUGAUAGCCAGUCUCUAUGAACACUAUGUGCCAGGCAUUUUAAAUGUAUUACUUCGUUUAAGCCUGACCAAAACCCAAGAUGGGUACUAUCAUUAUCUUCACGUUACAGCUAAAACUGAGCAUGGAUAAGUUGAGUCUUUUGCCCAAGGUCGUACAAGUAGUAAGUUGUCAAGUGGGAUCACCUCUUUCUGUCUGACCCUCAAACCCAUGAUCCAUUCCCUUCUAUCCACUCUUAAAUCUGCUCUGAGGAGGAGGAAGGGGUAUACUCAGCCCCGGGCGGAAAUGAUGAGCAGUGAAGGUGAGGGAGGGGCACGGUAAAGAAAUAAAUAUAGGGGAGGUCCCACCUUGUGUCAGGCACGUGUGACCCUCAUAGGCAGGAAUUAUAAUCUCCCUUUUAUAGGGGAAGGAGGAAAGCCUCGGACAGAGACUUACCCCAGUGCACCAGGGACCUAGGAGAAGUUCAGAGGAGCAGAUCCAGGCCUUCCUGGGCUCUGCUUUCACAUUUGGGUCUACCCAAACAUGAAGCCCUCUGCCUUAUUCAGGUCUCAGGCACUUAGGGACAAUACCCUGCCUAAAUCUUCUCAUCCCUUGCAUCCUUGUCUUGACAGGAGCACCCUGCAGCAGUGUCACUGGGUUAUCAAUUCCACUCAGCAGAGGGACGGAAAAUAUUACAAUUCUGAAUCUGUCUUUAUUCUAGAGUAAAUCCUUUAUUGUCUCAAGGAAAGUUGCUGUUAUCCAAACAUGUUCCAGAAUAUACAGCUUCUGUGACGCUUUCAUUCAUCAUAAACCACAAAGCUCAAAUUGGAGGCGAAGGCAGGAGCGAAAGGGCAGAGCAGUCUGAGGACCACAUUUCAUGAGAACCAAGAAGGAAGGUCACUCAGAUUGCUGAAGAGGCUAUGACGCUGGGACCUCAAAGGGCUCUCCCCGUGUGUCUCUGUGUCUUCACGUGGCUUUCUUAUCCACAAGAGCCAAGGGGCAGAGCAACCCAAACAUCCGUGUCCAUCAAUGGAUGAACCUCAAAAUAAAACGUG